CACGUAGGGUGCGAGCGUUGUCCGGAAUUAUUGGGCGUAAAGAGCUCGUAGGCGGUGUGUCGCGUCGGCCGUGAAAACCUGCAGCUUAACUGUGGGCUUGCGGUCGAUACGGGCAUCACUGGAGUUCGGCAGGGGAGACUGGAAUUCAUGGUGUAGCGGUGAAAUGCGCAGAUAUCAGGAGGAACACCAAUAGCGAAGGCAGCUCGCUGGGACGAUACUGACGCUAAGGCGCGAAAGCGUGGGGAGCGAACAGG
rnacentral:rRNA from 1 species